UUUUGAUGCGUGUCAGUAUUUGCUAAUAGUCUGAGGUCGAACAACGUCAGUUGUGUGUAAUAUCACUCCAAGCUGCUUCAAUCGACUUCCACAUCAUUCAACAGGAAAAUUGGGGAUUGAACUAUCGCAUCAGGCUCGCCCAGAGAAAUCCCAAAGAACUCAAGAAUCUUCUUCAACUGCGAUAGUUGAGUUAUUUGACGUUUUGGAUUCCGACAAGGAUCAAUUUGUAACUAAAGCUAAUCUGGACACAUUUAGGCAAGGGUCCGCUUCCAAAGGAUAUGACUUUAAUGGAAUGUACAAAACUGUUGGAGACAAGGUAACCAGAGAUCAAUUUACAUUGAGAGGCAG